CCUACGGGAGGCAGCAGUAGGGAAUCUUCCGCAAUGGGCGAAAGCCUGACGGAGCGACGCCACGUGAGCGAAGAAGGCCUUCGGGUCGUAAAGCUCUGUUGUGAGGGACGAAGGAGCGUCGUUCGAAGAGGGCGGCGCAGUGACGGUACCUCACGAGAAAGCCCCGGCUAACUACGUGCCAGCAGCCGCGGUAAUACGUAGGGGGCGAGCGUUGUCCGGAAUUAUUGGGCGUAAAGCGCGCGCAGGCGGUCUCUUAAGUCUGAUGUGAAAGCCCACGGCUCAACCGUGGAGGGUCAUUGGAAACUGGGGGACUUGAGGGCAGGAGAGGAGAGCGGAACUCCACGUGUAGCGGUGAAAUGCGUAGAGAUGUGGAGGAACACCAGUGGCGAAGGCGGCUCUCUGGCCUGCACCUGACGCUGAGGCGCGAAAGCGUGGGGAGCAAACAGGAUUAGAUACCCUGGUAGUCCACGCCGUAAACGAUGAGUGCUAAGUGUUAGAGGGGUCACACCCUUUAGUGCUGCAGCUAACGCGAUAAGCACUCCGCCUGGGGAGUACGGCCGCAAGGCUGAAACUCAAAGGAAUUGACGG
rnacentral:rRNA from 1 species